rnacentral:rRNA from 1 species
GACGAACCGUGCGAACGUUGUUCGGAAUCACUUGGGCUUAAAAGGGCGCGUGAGGCGGGGCGCACAAGUCAGGGGUGAAAAUCCCAGCGGACCUCAACCGUGGAAGUGCCCUUUGAUACUGUGCAUCUCGAGGGAGGUAGGGGCGUGCGGAACUUCCGGUGGAGCGGUGAAAUGCGUAGAUAUCGGAAGGAACACCGGUGGCGAAAGCGGCGCGCUGGACCUCUUCUGACGCUGAGGCGCGAAAGCCAGGGGAGCAAACGGG